rnacentral:lncRNA from 1 species
UAUUACUGUGGUUCUAAUCUCUCCACUGCUCUUGAUGGAAUCACUGGUCCAGCUAUCCGGGUGUUGUAACUCCCGACCCUUCCUGUCAGUCCAGCAUCUUCUGAUGGAACGGCUUGUAGCGGUUACUGGGAAAAGGAUGGAAGAGGAAAUGGUCCACAAUCAUUGAGAGAUAUCAGCAAACCCAGGCUCUUCGCUGGAAACUCAGCUUGUAAGGUGGAGGCAGUGGCAGAGGAUGAAACAAGGAGUCUCAAGGAUGGCUUCCCAGGAAGAAACAUGCUCCAACUCAGUCCAAGGAUGAGAACCCUGACAAAAGAUGAGAAAGAUGGAUUGGGAGAACAAGAUGAGUAAUUUCCUUGUGGAUCAGUUGGGAUCCUUGGUACCUUGUCAGUGGCUGCCUUAUCCCGAGAAGGCUGGCAGAGAAGAAGGAUGCAAUUUUAUCCAGACAUUCAUAUUAAAAAAAAUUUUACUUGUGCAAAAAUGCCUCUCUAAUAUUAGAUUCUUCAAAAUAGGUGCUUUGAACUCCAAAACUCUCAUGUUCUCAGGCCUCCAAAAUACAGUCUGGCAUUGUCC